UGAGCAAUCUGCCCUUCUCUUUGGAAUAAGCGUUGGAAACGACGUCUAAUGCCGAAUACGACCUCCUUUCGCAUGAUCGGAGGUGGAAAGCUCCGGCGGAGAAGGAUGAGCUCGCGGCCUAUCAGCUAGUUGGUGUGGGUAAUGGCCCACAAGGCGACGACGGGUAGCCGGCCUGAGGAGGGUCGACCGGCCACACGUGGGACUGACGACACGGCCAGACCUCCGUACGGGA
rnacentral:rRNA from 1 species